AAAUGCGAUAAGUAGUGUGAAUUGCAGAAUUCAGUGAAUCAUCGAAUCUUUGAACGCACAUUGCGCCCCUCGGCAUUCCGUGGGGCAUGCCUGUUCGAGCGUCAUCUACACCCUCAAGCUCUGCUUGGUGUUGGGCGUCUGUCCCGCCUCCGCGCGCGGACUCGCUCCAAAUGCAUUGGCAGCGGUUCCUUGCCCCCCUCUUUGCGCAGCACAUUGCCAUUCGAGGCGGCGGCGGCCCGCGUCCAACAAGCUCAACCCCCCCGUCUUUGACCUCGGAUCAGGUAGGGAUACCCGCUGAACUUAAGC
rnacentral:misc_RNA from 1 species